rnacentral:rRNA from 1 species
ACACAGUAUUAAAGGUAACGCCUGCCCAGUGAAUAUUAAACGGCCGCGGGAUCCUCACCGUGCAAAGGUAGCAUAAUCACUUGUCCCCUAAAUAGUGACUAGUAUGAACGGCCAAAUGAAGAUUUUACUGUCUCUUAUAGCUAAUCUAUGAAACUAAUCUGCCAGUACAAAAUCUGGUAUAUUUACAUAAGACGAAAAGACCCUGUGGAACUUCCAAGCACAAACCAACUCAUCAUGGCCCCCUGCUUUUAGUUGGGGCAACUUUGGAAAUAAACAAAACUUCCAAUAAGAUUAAGAUAGACACAUCAAUAUAAUAUAUUUUAUCACUAGACCCAGUGUUAUACUGAUCAAAGAACCAAGCUACCCCAGGGAUAACAGCGCCAUCCCCUCCUAGAGCCCAAAUCGACGAGAGGGGUUUACGACCUCGAUGUUGGAUCAGGGCCCCCAAACAGUGCAACAGCUGCUAAUGGUUUGUUUGUUCAACAAUUAAAGCCCUACGUG